rnacentral:rRNA from 1 species
ACGGGAGGCAGCAGUGGGGAAUAUUGCACAAUGGGGGAAACCCUGAUGCAGCGAUGCCGCGUGGAGGAAGAAGGUUUUCGGAUUGUAAACUCCUGUCUUAAAGGACGAUAAUGACGGUACUUUAGGAGGAAGCUCCGGCUAACUACGUGCCAGCAGCCGCGGUAAUACGUAGGGAGCGAGCGUUGUCCGGAAUUACUGGGUGUAAAGGGAGCGCAGGCGGGACAGCAAGUUGGAUGUGAAAUACCGAGGCUUAACCACGGAGCUGCAUCCAAAACUGUUGUUCUUGAGUGAAGUAGAGGUAGGCGGAAUUCCGAGUGUAGCGGUGAAAUGCGUAGAUAUUCGGAGGAACACCAGUGGCGAAGGCGGCCUACUGGGCUUUAACUGACGCUGAGGCUCGAAAGUGUGGGGAGCAAACAGGAUUAGAUACCCUGGUA